rnacentral:rRNA from 1 species
GAUGAACGCUAGCUACAGGCUUAACACAUGCAAGUCGAGGGGUAGCAGGGUAGCAAUACCGCUGACGACCGGCGCACGGGUGAGUAACACGUAUCCAACCUUCCCAUCACUCGGGGAUAGCCUUUCGAAAGAAAGAUUAAUACCCGAUAGUACUUUUUUGAGGCAUCUUAAGAAAGUUAAAGAUUUAUUGGUGAUGGAUGGGGAUGCGUUCCAUUAGAUUGUUGGUGAGGUAACGGCUCACCAAGUCUUCGAUGGAUAGGGGUUCUGAGAGGAAGGUCCCCCACAUUGGUACUGAGACACGGACCAAACUCCUACGGGAGGCAGCAGUGAGGAAUAUUGGUCAAUGGGCGAGAGCCUGAACCAGCCAAGUAGCGUGAAGGAUGAAGGUCCUAUGGAUUGUAAACUUCUUUUAAGUAGAAUAAAGUGUCCACGUGUGGAUUUUGUAUGUAUACUAUGAAUAAGGAUCGGCUAACUCCGUG